CUAGUUGGUGGGGUAAGAGCCUACCAAGGCGACGAUCGGUAGCUGGUCUGAGAGGACGAACAGCCACACUGGGAUUGAGAACGGCCCAGACUCCUACGGGGGGCAGCAGUGAGGAAUUUUCCGCAAUGGACGCAAGUCUGACGGAGCAACGCCGCGUGCAGGAGGACGCUUUUCGGAGUGUAAACUGCUUUUCUCUGGGACGAGAGUGGACGGUACCGGAAGAAUAAGCACCGGCUAACUACGUGCCAGCAGCCGCGGUAAUACGUAGGGUGCGAGCGUUAAUCGGAAUUACUGGGCGUAAAGCGUGCGCAGGCGGUUCGUUAAGACAGAUGUGAAAUCCCCGGGCUUAACCUGGGAACUGCAUUUGUGACUGGCGAGCUAGAGUAUGGCAGAGGGGGGUAGAAUUCCACGUGUAGCAGUGAAAUGCGUAGAGAUGUGGAGGAAUACCGAUGGCGAAGGCAGCCCCCUGGGCCAAUACUGACGCUCAUGCACGAAAGCGUGGGGAGCAAACAGGAUUAGAUACCCUGGUAGUCCACGCCCUAAACGAUGUCAACUAGUUGUUGGGGAUUCAUUUCCUUAGUAACGUAGCUAACGCGUGAAGUUGACCGCCUGGGGAGUACGGUCGCAAGAUUAAAACUCAAAGGAAUUGACG
rnacentral:rRNA from 1 species